UACGAAGGGGGCUAGCGUUGCUCGGAAUUACUGGGCGUAAAGGGCGCGUAGGCGGUCCUGUAAGUCAGGCGUGAAAUUCCUGGGCUCAACCUGGGGGCUGCGCUUGAGACUGUGGGACUUGAGGUCAGAAGAGGCUCGUGGAAUUCCCAGUGUAGAGGUGAAAUUCGUAGAUAUUGGGAAGAACACCGGUGGCGAAGGCGGCGAGCUGGUCUGAUACUGACGCUGAGGCGCGACAGCGUGGGGAGCAAACAGG
rnacentral:rRNA from 1 species